AACGAACGCUGGCGGCAGGCCUAACACAUGCAAGUCGAACGCUCUCUUCGGAGGGAGUGGCAGACGGGUGAGUAACACGUGGGAACCUACCCCUUGGUACGGAAUAACUGAUGGAAACGUUAGCUAAUACCGUAUGAGCGCUGAGGCGGAAAGAUUUAUCGCCAAGGGAUGGGCCCGCGUAGGAUUAGCUAGUUGGUGGGGUAAAGGCCUACCAAGGCGACGAUCCUUAGCUGGUCUGAGAGGAUGAUCAGCCACACUGGGACUGAGACACGGCCCAGACUCCUACGGGAGGCAGCAGUGGGGAAUAUUGGACAAUGGGCGGAAGCCUGAUCCAGCCAUGCCGCGUGAGUGAUGAAGGCCUUAGGGUUGUAAAGCUCUUUCACCUGGGAAGAUAAUGACGGUACCAGGAGAAGAAGCCCCGGCUAACUUCGUGCCAGCAGCCGCCGUAAAAC
rnacentral:rRNA from 1 species